AGUGAACGCUAGCGGCAGGCUUAAUACAUGCAAGUUGAGGGGCAGCAUGAUAUACGCGAGUAUAUUGAUGGCGACCGGCGGACGGGUGAGUAAUAGGUAGGAGACCUACCUCAUACAGGGGGAUAGCAUAGAGAAAUCUGUGGUAAUACCCCAUGAGGUUAUAUGAAUAGAGGCAUAUAAUCAAAGCAUAAGCGAUUAUGCGGUAUGAGAGGGGCCUACUGACCAUUAGCUAGUUGGUGAGGUAAGGGCUCACCAAGGCGAAGAUGGUUAGGGGUUUUGAGAGAGAGACCCCCCACAUUGGAACUGAGAGACGGUCCAGACUCCUACGGGAGGCAGCAGUAGGGAAUAUUGGGCAAUGGGCGAAAGCCUGACCCAGCCAUGCCGCGUGAAGGAAGACGGCCUUAUGGGUUGUAAACUUCUUUACUACGCGAAUAGAGGUUAGUACGAGAUACUAAUAGGAAGGUAGUGUAGUAAAAAGCACCGGCUAACUCCGUG
rnacentral:rRNA from 1 species